rnacentral:rRNA from 1 species
AGCAGUCGCCACGGGAACACGGAGGGUGCAAGCGUUAUCCGGAUUUAUUGGGUUUAAAGGGUCCGUAGGCGGAUCUGUAAGUCAGUGGUGAAAUCUCACAGCUUAACUGUGAAACUGCCAUUGAUACUGCAUGUCUUGAGUAAAUUUGAAGUGGCUGGAAUAAGUAGUGUAGCGGUGAAAUGCAUAGAUAUUACUUAGAACACCAAUUGCGAAGGCAGGUCACUAAGAUUUAACUGACGCUGAUGGACGAAAGCGUGGGGAGCGAACAGGAUUAGAUACCCCGGUAGUCCCUGUCUCUUAUAC